rnacentral:rRNA from 1 species
GACGAACGCUGGCGGCGUGCCUAACACAUGCAAGUGGAGCGACGAACCAGACUUCGGUCUGGGGCCAAGCCGCGAACGGGUGAGUAACACGUGGGUAACCUGACUCUUAGAGGGGGAUAACACUCGGAAACGGGUGCUAAUACCGCAUAAGACCACGACCCGGCAUCGGGAUGAGGUCAAAGGAGCAAUCCGCUGAGAGAGGGGUUCGCGUCCCAUUAGAGAGAUGGCGGGGUAACGGCCCACCAUGUCAACGAUGGGUAGCCGAGCUGAGAGGCUGAUCGGCCACACUGGAACUGAGACACGGUCCAGACUCCUACGGGAGGCAGCAGUGGGGAAUAUUGGGCAAUGGGCGCAAGCCUGACCCAGCAACGCCGCGUGAGGGAAGAAGGCUUUCGGGUUGUAAACCUCUGUCCUUGGUGACGAAACAAAUGACGGUAGCCAAGGAGGAAGCCCCGGCUAACUACGUGCCAGCAGCCGCCGUAAGAC